UACGUAGGUGGCAAGCAUUGUCCGGAAUUAUUGGGCGUAAAGGGCGCGUAGGCGGUUCUUUAAGUCAGAUGUGAAAUCCCGAGGCUCAACCUCGGGCGUGCAUUUGAAACUGGGGGACUAGAGUACAGGAGAGGUAAGUGGAAUUCCUAGUGUAGCGGUGAAAUGCGUAGAUAUUAGGAGGAACACCAGUGGCGAAGGCGACUUACUGGACUGUAACUGACGCUGAGGCGCGAAAGCGUGGGGAGCAAACAGG
rnacentral:rRNA from 1 species